UACGUAGGUAGCGAGCGUUAUCCGGAAUUAUUGGGCGUAAAGGGUGCGUAGGCGGCCAUUUAAGUUCAUGGUGAAAGCGUGGGGCUCAACCCCAUAAAGCCAUGGAUACUGGAUGGCUGGAGUACUGGAGAGGGUAGUGGAAUUCCAUGUGUAGCGGUAAAAUGCGUAGAUAUAUGGAGGAACACCGGUGGCGAAGGCGGCUACCUGGACAGAGACUGACGCUGAGGCACGAAAGCGUGGGGAGCAAAUAGG
rnacentral:rRNA from 1 species